rnacentral:ncRNA from 1 species
UUUCCCUCAGGAUAGCUGGCAGUCAUUCGCAAGAUCAGUUUUAUCCGGUAAAGCGAAUGCUUAGAGGUAUUGGGUUCGAAAAGACCUCAACAUUUUCUCAAACUUUAAAUGGGUGAAAUGCACGGCUCACAUUAUAGGUUUCGGGCGCUGAAUGUGCGAGUGCCAAGUGGGCCAUUUUUGGUAAGCAGAACUGGCGCUGUGGGAUGAACCA